ACCUGCAUUAGCAAACCAGCGGCACAUCUGCUGUUGUAAUGGUACCUGAGAUGCUUUGCGGUGGUGUUAUGAAGCUUCACAGAACUGGGGUUUCUUGCAAAAAUAAACCAGGAUCACUUAUACUGAAUUCAAGAGUGAGGCCCAAUGAUCUUAGCUGACUCAUCAGGAAGCCUUCACAUCUAUUGGAGAAAGCUUUGCUCAUCAAUUAAGUUCUUAGGAAAGUAAGUAAGCACAAAGGACACUGAGGCUAUGAUAUGCAGGAAGGAUGAUUGAAGUGUUCUGGUUUGGUUGGAAGACUGAGGUAGCUUGCCAGAGGGAAUUCAUAGGAAACCAGAACAUUUUCCCAAAGAGAAGUUUUCCAGAGCUUCUCUGCUAAUGGGAAGCAACAGCAGCUAGGAGUUGUUAUCAUCUCUUCAGUGCCCAGGCAACCUGAAUACAACCCACAGCCAGUGAGUGAAAGUGCUAAUGAGGACACCUGAAUUGAUUUGGUGGUGACAUUCAGCUGUUGAUCCAA